UUUUCAGUGCCCCCAUACCAAGAUUCCCCCAAUCUUCUUCACCACUAAGCCUCUACUACCUGCAAGAAAGGCCACUUCACACUCUAAUCGAUCUACUCCACCCUCUUCACCGGUCUGCUCUUCCCUCGAUUCUUCCCUCCCCAUGGAAACCCCAUACCCUAAACCCAUAAACACCGCCCAAACCCGCGUUGGAUUUGUGGGAAUUGGUGUCAUGGGCGCCGCCAUGGCCUCUCGCAUCCUCGCCGCCGGGUACUUCCUCACCGUCUACGCCCGCAACCCUUCCAAAGCCCUUACACUGCAGUCCCAAGGCGCCCAAUUGGCUGACUCUCCAGCCUCCCUCGCCCGGCAAAGCGAUGUCGUUUUUACUAUGCUGGGACACCCCUCAGAUGUUCGGCAAAUUGUCCUUGGCCCCAACGGCAUCCUCUCAGGCCUCAACCCCGGCGGCGUUCUUGUAGACACCACCAGCAGCCACCCUGGUCUUGCCCGCGAAAUCUACGCUGCUGCACGGGAGAAGAACUGCUGGUCCGUGGAUUCGCCUGUUUCCGGUGGGGAUAUCGGUGCCAGGGAUGGAAAGUUGGCGAUUUUGGCAGGAGGAGAUAGUGGG
rnacentral:lncRNA from 1 species